rnacentral:RNase_P_RNA from 1 species
CAAGUUAAUCGCCUUAUCGCUGUUCUGUAUAAGCAGAAUGGAGGAAAGUCCGAACACCGUAGUGCAACAUAGUGGUUAACAGCCACCAGUCGAGAGGCUAGGAAAAGUGCAACAGAAAGUAUGUACAGGUUAAGCUGUAGUGAAAUCCGGUAAACUCUAUGUGGUGCAAUGUCAUGUAAACCAACGUUUAAGGGUUGCACGCCCGAUGUUGGAGGGUAGACAGCUAGAGUGUAUUGGUAACAAUACUCUUAGAUAAAUGAUAAGGGCUCAAUUGGAGUACAGAAUUCGGCUUACAGAUUUACUUAUAUU